rnacentral:rRNA from 1 species
UACGUAGGGUGCGAGCGUUGUCCGGAUUUAUUGGGCGUAAAGGGCUCGUAGGCGGCCUGUCGCGUCGGGAGUGAAAGCCCACUGCUUAACGGUGGGUCUGCUUCUGGUACGGGCGGGCUGGAGUAUGGCAGGGGAGACUGGAAUUCCUGGUGUAGCGGUGGAAUGCGCAGAUAUCAGGAGGAACACCGGUGGCGAAGGCGGGUCUCUGGGCCAUUACUGACGCUGAGGAGCGAAAGCGUGGGGAGCGAACAGG